UCCCUCGUGGCGCAAUUGGCUAGCGCGUUCGACUGUUACUUGAAGAAAUUCAAACUCGGACUUAUCGAGAGGUUGGUGGUUCGAGCCCACCCGAGGGAG